rnacentral:lncRNA from 10 species
GCACAACAACAUGUACUAAGUGAUAAAAAGAUGAAUCAAGCCUGUUAUAAAUGCAUAAUAACUGCCAAUUACUGGGCACUGCAACAUUCUAAUUGUUUUGUAGGUACUAGGUCACUGAUUCUCAACAGCAUCUCUGUACCAGUCACACUGGCCUUAUAGAACAAAUGAGUGACCUGAGAUAUUACAGCUUGUAAGAGGUGAAGGAGGGGAACUACUUGAGCAAAAGGCCCAGUGGAUU